UACGUAGGGGGCAAGCGUUGUCCGGAUUUAUUGGGCGUAAAGAGCGUGUAGGCGGUUUGGUAGGUCCGUUGUGAAAACUCGAGGCUCAACCUCGAGACGCCGAUGGAAACCAUCAGACUAGAGUCCGGAAGAGGAGAGUGGAAUUCCUGGUGUAGCGGUGAAAUGCGCAGAUAUCAGGAAGAACACCCGUGGCUAAGGCGGCUCUCUAGUAGCGGUACUGACGCUGAGACGCGAAAAGCGUGGGGAUCAAACAGG
rnacentral:rRNA from 1 species